rnacentral:rRNA from 1 species
UACAGAGGUCCCAAGCGUUGUUCGGAUUCAUUGGGCGUAAAGGGUGCGUAGGCGGUUUGAUAAGUCUGAUGUGAAAUCUAUGGGCUCAACCCAUAGUCUGCAUUAGAAACUGUCGGGCUUGAGUAUGGGAGAGGUGAGUGGAAUUUCCGGUGUAGCGGUGAAAUGCGUAGAUAUCGGAAGGAACACCUGUGGCGAAAGCGGCUCACUGGACCAUUACUGACGCUGAUGCACGAAAGCUAGGGGAGCAAACAGG